CGUGUGUAUUUGGUCCCAAAUUUGUUUAUGUGCGCACGCUACUUCGCUAAAGUGCGGCCCAUCGGGCCCUUCAUCGAACAUUUGGAUGAGCCAGCACAAUUGCUUCCUUGCUUGUGGCAGCUAGCCAGCUUCCCUGCCCUAAUCAACUAAUCGAGAUUUCCUCUUAGCGGCGUGAGGGAUUGACAGACUGCUGACUACGGGAGCCGGGAGGGGGCAUCGUGCGCCGUGCGCGGUGGCGAAGGAAGAGCGAAGCGGCGGAGGCCGAGCUGCUACGGCGCUGACUGGCCGGGUCGCACGGCUACGCCGCUACUCGACGCUUGCUGCGGCUUGUGGGAAGCUGGAGAAGAAAGUUUGUCGCCUGUACAGCUGUCGGAGAAGAAAGCUCGUGCUUGGCGGCUUGCUAUGGGCCGCGAUUGAGAGGAGAUCUGAAAAUGGAGAAAAGGUGAACAUUUUUAGCAAGAGCUAUUGGAAAAAGAAACAAAUUGUAUAAGUUAGUGCUCCUCGGAUGCAAUUGAUGAUAUUACAAUGCCAUGUUGAAACUAGCAAUGCAAUUUGUAAUCUUACUUAUGCUAUUUAAUGUUGUUCUUUAUAUAUUUAAGCACUAGCCACUUGGUUAUGUCAAACAAUUAAUACUUUGAUAUUUUGAGUAAUGAAUAACAUCAUCUUAUGAUCUAUUUUUUGUUGCGUGUGUUAUGAUUUAGUUUACUAGUUGUGUAAUAUGUAUGUUCAAUUAUAUGUUAUAUAUUUUAUAUGCUAUGAAACAACUUCUAUGUGAUACUAUAAUCAAUUAUAUAUGUCUAAAGGCUACUAAAAUAGGCUUUAGGCUAUUAUCUUUUUUACACUAGUAAAAUUUCGAAUACCCAUUCUCUAAAUCCUGGGCCCGCCCCUGUCUAUAGGCUACCAAAUCUAAGAAAUUGAUUAGUUCUGAACUAAUGCACUUCGACCGGAGCAUUUUUACACUUAUUGCUUACUAAUGGGUUCGAGCUGCAAAGCCUGACUGUUAGGAACUGAAAGUGGAUUUGCUUUACCUUUUUGCACUUGUUUGUUCUGCAAGACUGAUAUUUUGAGUUCCAACUUUUAUUGCACACUAUUUUAAAGGACACCGUUCAUUACUUUGACCAUUAGAAUAAAAUCCCUAUAAAACGUGGCCAUGCAAUCACUGGUUGUAAAUUGAUGGGGCAGAAUGUUGUAGGAUGGAUUGGCUCAAGAACUAAUAUAGCUUACUUAUGACAAUGUAGUAAUUCAUGAAGUUAUUGUUCCUUAUGUUCAUGGAGUUUGUUCUGCUAGGUUUUUAUGCUUUUAAUUUCUAUUUCCUUAACGAAACCUCAGGCACCUUAAAGACAGCUUGGAUGAUUGGUUUCAUGAACUGCUAGAGAACUUCUUGGAUGAUGAUUAUCUUGUGUUUGAUUGCCCUAAUAUACUCUCAAAUCAUCUUUUCAUGCUUUAGUUGUUUCUUAAUAGUUGCACAGUUUCAUCUCACUCAUAUUCUUGCCACUUACAUGUAUGUGACAAAACAGACAAUCCGUCUUUUUUAUUGCUUAUGGCGUUGUGCAUUAUACAUGUCCACCAAUUAUAUACAAAUACCAUUUGUGGGUUACCUCUGGUGUGUUUAGGUGCGAGCUGCAAUCAAAGUUAAGGCAUUAGUCAUCAUUUGCUUCACCUCUUCUGGACAGGCUGCAAGGUUGCUCUGACAUAACGAGGAAGUCCCUCUUCAUGGUCGGAGAAAUUGGGGGCAAUGACUACAACCUACCUCUUCAAUCGAGUGCCAUUUGAAAAGGGUGUUCUGGACAAAGAAAGCUUGUACCUUAAAACAGGAGGAUACAAGAAGCUGGAGUGGUUGUCUAAAGGCUUUUGAACUGCUUGAAGCAUUAGUGUAGCUUUGGUGAUUUUGUGACUGAUCAGCUCUGGAGCAGCUAGAGUGAGGUAGUUGUGGGCUUUUGAACAAUAGAUGGAGUGAUAUGAAACAUUAGUGAUGUAGUUGUGGGCUUUUGAACUGCUUCAAGCUGGAGUGAUGUCGCUGUGUUACUUUUGUGACUGAUCAUCUCUGGAGCUUUUGUGAAUGAUCUAACUAGCUAUAUGUAAAUGAUCUAGUUGUGAAUGAUAUUAUAAUUGUGAUGAUUUUGUGAAUA